UAUAUUUCGUGUCAGAAAUGCACCAAGAGGCGACCGAAAUUUGAGUAACCAGGACACGAGCCCUUCCGUUUCAUAGUCGGCAGCUCUCCCCACAAAAUGACAACUAACCGUUUUGGAUGAGCCUCUAGGCACCUGCUGAAGCAUAUCAUUUAGUCACCCACAAGCUACUUGGCAUUCGUCACACCGGUAGUUGUGAUUUCGAAUGGCGGAUAUUAUCAUGUUAGUAACGCUGCAAUGAAGCAAGCACAAAUAUUUUCCUAACCAGAAACAAUCACAUGCAUUGCUAACGGUAAGUGCUGGAGGAGAAAGAAAUUUUAGUGUUCCCUGCCGCAAUGUUGCACAUACUUAGCUGAGCUGUUGCAAAUUUUUCGCGCCGAAGCCGAGGAAAAUAUUUAAUUUCGUUAGCCAAUAAAAUCACGUCCGCACUUUUCCCAGCCAGCGAGGCAGCCGAGCUGACAUCUAGCAGUCUACGAGUGGGUUACCGCGGACUCAGUGGCAAAUGGUCAUUCGAUAUGCAAGACAAACAAUGAAAAUGAGCAGUGAGCAGGUGAGUUGGGCCAUGGGUGAUGGGUGAUGUUUGGUAGCGCAAAUGUGACCGUGACGUAUGCGAAAAUUACUGGGAAUUUUAUGCUGUCGACUGGUCGUUGCCUGCUGCCCACACCAGCCCAAAAUCACCACUCACUGCAGAAGCUGUGAAAGUAGCGGCGACCAGUUGCCACUGCCACCGGAGACCGGCCGCCGAGCGUAGCCCGCAACGGUAGUGGACAUUAUGACCGGCCAGGUGCGAACAAUUUUGUCAAUUUGUUUUGCUGAACAUUUUUCAUGUUUUUCAGUUUUUGUGGGUGCAACACCGUGUGGAAAGUGGCUGUUGGUGG